CAAUAGCGUAUAUUAAAGUUGUUGCGGUUAAAAGCUCGUAGUUGGUUUUCUGUCGGGUGCUGCCGGUCCGAACCUAGUUCGUGCAUCUGGUCCAGCCUCGGCAUUUUCCUCGGGAGCGUGCUUGUCAUUCAGUUGAUGAGGCGCGGCCGGGGACUUCUACUUUGAGGAAAUUAGAGUGUUUACGGCAAGCAUGCGCUUGAAUAUAUUAGCAUGGGAUAAUUAUACAGGACCUUAAUCCUAUUUUAUUGGUUCCUAGGAAGAAGGUAAUGAUAAAUAGGGAUAGCUGGGGGCACUCGAAUUAACGCGUCAGAGGUGGAAUUCUUGGAUUGCGUUACGACGACCUACUGCGAAAGCAUUUGCCAAGGAUGUUUUCAUUGAUCAAGAACGAAAGUUAGGGGAUCGAAGAUGAUCAGAUACCGU
rnacentral:rRNA from 1 species